rnacentral:rRNA from 1 species
UACGUAGGGUGCGAGCGUUAAUCGGAAUUACUGGGGCGAAGCGUGCGCAGGCGGUUUUGUAAGCCAGGUCGGUGAAAUCCCCGGGCUCAACCUGGGGAAUGGCAUUGGGACUGCAAGGCUGGAGUGCGGCAGAGGAGACUGGGAAUUCCUGGUGUAGCAGUGAAAUGCGUAGAUAUCAGGGAGGAACACCGAUGGCGAAGGCAGCCCCCUGGGCUAACACUGACGCUCAGGCACGAAAGCGUGGGGAGCAAACAGG